CAAAGACCAAUAGGGCGGAAUACCCUUCUCAGUCAAUCAAUCAGGAAAAUGGCUGUUGGGUCUUCAUCUACUCUGCUUCGACCAUAAUCCCGAAGACCAAUAGGGCAGAAUACCCUUCUCAGUCAAUCAAUCAGGAAAAUGGCUGUUGGGUCUUCAUCUACUCUGCUUCGACCAUAAUGCCAAAGACUAAUAGGGCGGAAUACCCUUCUCAGUCAAUCAAUCAGGAAAAUGGCUGUUGGGUCUUCAUCUACUCUGAUUCGACCAUAAUCCCGAAGACCAAUAGGGCGGAAUACCCUUCUCGGUCAGUCAAUCAGGAAAAUGGCUGUUGGGUCUGCUUCGAUCCCGAGGAAGG
rnacentral:lncRNA from 1 species